ensembl:snRNA U1 U1 spliceosomal RNA
AUACUUACCUGGCAGGGGAGAUACCAUGAUCACGAAGGUGGUUUUCCCAGGGCGAGGCUUAUCCAUUGCACUCCGGAUGUGCUGACCCCUGCGAUUUCCCCAAAUGUGGGAAACUCGACUGCAUAAUUUGUGAUAGUGGGGGACUGCGUUCGCGCUUUCCCCUG